GCCUGGGUGGCUCAGUCGGUUGAGCGUCUGACUUCAGCUCAGGUCAUGAUCUCACAGUCUGUGAGUUCGAGCCUCACGUAGGGCU
rnacentral:tRNA from 1 species